rnacentral:rRNA from 1 species
UACGGAGGGGGCUAGCGUUGUUCGGAAUUACUGGGCGUAAAGCGCGUGUAGGCGGCUUUGCAAGUCGGGUGUGAAAGCCCUCGGCUCAACCGAGGAAGUGCGCCCGAAACUGCAGAGCUUGAGUACCGGAGAGGAUGGCGGAAUUCCCCAAGUAGAGGUGAAAUUCGUAGAUAUGGGGAGGAACACCGGCGGCGAAGGCGGCCAUCUGGACGGAUACUGACGCUGAGACGCGAAAGCGUGGGGAGCAAACAGG